AGUGAACGCUGGCGGUAGGCCUAACACAUGCAAGUCGACCGGCAGCACAGUAAAAGCUUGCUCUUAGGGGUGGCGGGUGGCGGACGGGUGAGGAAUACAUCGGAAUUUCUUUUUUCGUGGGGGAUAACGUAGGGAAACUUACGCUAAUACCGCUUACGACCUACGGGUGAAAGCAGGGGACCUUGGGCCCUUGCGCGAUUGAAUGAGCGGAUGUCGGAUUAGCUAGUUGGCGGGGUAAAGGCCCACCAAGGCGACGAUCCGUAGCUGGUCUGAGAGGAUGAUCAGCCACACUGGAACUGAGACACGGUCCAGACUCCUACGGGAGGCAGCAGUGGGGAAUAUUGGACAAAGGGCGCAAGCCUGAUCCAGCCAUACCGCGUGGGUGAAGAAGGCCUUCGGGUUGUAAAGCCCUUUUGUUGGGAAAGAAAAGCAGCAGGUUAAUACCCCGCUGUUCUGACGGUACCCAAAGAAUAAGCACCGGCUAACUUCGUG
rnacentral:rRNA from 1 species